AGUUUACAAGACACCAUAGAAAGAACACAGGAGUUGCCCUGUCGGAACAGACCAAUCAUCAUCUAGUCUGGUAUCCUGUCUCUGACAACAGCCAAUUCCAAAUACUUCAGAAGAAGGGGAAGUAAACAGGGGGAAGGAACACCCAUAAGAAUUCCAUUUCUGACCGAUGGUCUCUCCUGAGAGGUCUGAUUUGUGUGGAGAAUGGCCUGGCAGCUUGUAAAAUCCUGGAAUAUAUGGAAUCAUGGUGUUAACAGGAAGCUGUGAAACGUGACACACAAUGAGAGUCUAGGAGGAUACCAUUCAGUGCUCCAUGAUUCUUCACAGAAUCUUUCACAAAAAGAAUGAAGCAAGAUGAUUGCACAGUGAAAUAAAAC